GCCCCCAUCGUCUAGAGGUCCAGGACGCCGGGCUCUCAUCCCGGAAACAGGGGUUCGAGUCCCCUUGGGGGCGCCA
rnacentral:tRNA from 2 species